rnacentral:rRNA from 1 species
ACAUGCCUACAUCAUACCGUUAAUGCACUGGAUCCCAUUAUAAAUAUGUUUUUAAGCAUGCUCGGGCUAGAGUGUUACUAGGAUGUGUGACCAUCUGGGAAGUCCUAAUGUUUUGCAUGUC